UCUCAGUGAUGGAAUUCCCAAUAGAUCCUUCUGACUCUCCACUGUGGACUCAAUAGCAGGGAUAUGAAGAGGAAGGUGACUGAGAGA
rnacentral:snoRNA from 1 species